GAUGAACGCUGGCGGCGUGCCUAAUACAUGCAAGUCGAGCGAACAGACGAGGAGCUUGCUCCUUUGACGUUAGCGGCGGACGGGUGAGUAACACGUAGGUAACCUACCUAUAAGACUGGGAUAACUUCGGGAAACCGGAGCUAAUACCGGAUAAUAUUUCGAACCGCAUGGUUCGAUAGUGAAAGAUGGCUUUGCUAUCACUUAUAGAUGGACCUGCGCCGUAUUAGCUAGUUGGUAAGGUAACGGCUUACCAAGGCAACGAUACGUAGCCGACCUGAGAGGGAGAUCGGCCACACUGGAACUGAGACACGGUCCAGACUCCUACGGGAGGCAGCAGUAGGGAAUCUUCCGCAAUGGGCGAGAGCCUGACAGAGCAACGCCGCGUGAGUGAUGAAGGUCUUCGGAUCGGAAAACUCUGUUAUUAGGGAAGAACAAACGUGUAAGUAACUGUGCACGUCUUGACGGUACCUAAUCAGAAAGCCACGGCUAACUACGUG
rnacentral:rRNA from 1 species